rnacentral:rRNA from 1 species
UAGAGUUUGAUUAUGGCUCAGAUUGAACGCUGGCGGCAUGCCUUACACAUGCAAGUCGAACGGUAACGCGGGGCAACCUGGCGACGAGUGGCGAACGGGUGAGUAAUAUAUCGGAACGUGCCCAGUCGUGGGGGAUAACGUAGCGAAAGCUACGCUAAUACCGCAUACGAUCUAUGGAUGAAAGCGGGGGAUCGCAAGACCUCGCGCGAUUGGAGCGGCCGAUAUCAGAUUAGCUAGUUGGUGGGGUAAAGGCCCACCAAGGCGACGAUCUGUAGCUGGUCUGAGAGGACGACCAGCCACACUGGGACCGAGACACGGCCCAGACUCCUACGGGAGGCAGCAGUGGGGAAUUUUGGACAAUGGGCGCAAGCCUGAUCCAGCAAUGCCGCGUGCAGGACGAAGGCCUUCGGGUUGUAAACUGCUUUUGUACGGAACGAAACGGCCCCUUCUAAUACAGGGGGCUAAUGACGGUACCGUAAGAAUAAGCACCGGCUAACUACGUGCCAGCAGCCGCGGUAAUAC